GGCAUCCUGGUCCUUACCAUAAAUUGUUCUUUCUUACAUUGAUUGUAACAGAAAGAGGCACAGUAAACCCACUCCAUAUAUACCUCAGCCAGGUCAUUUGCUGGGUCUGUAUUGUGAAUGGGGGUAACAUGG